rnacentral:tRNA from 1 species
ACUUGAGUAGUUUAAGUUAAAACAUUGGUUUGUGGGGUCAAUAAUAUAUGUCUUUAUCUCAGGUU